UACAGAGGGGGCGAGCGUUAUUCGGGAUUAUUGGGCGUAAAGGGCGCGUAGGCGGCUUUUCAAGUGACGGGUGAAAUCCCUCGGCUUAACCGAGGAACUGCCUGUCAGACUGGAAGGCUUGAGACCGGGAGAGGUGAGUGGAAUUCCCAGUGUAGCGGUGAAAUGCGUAGAUAUUGGGAGGAACACCAGUGGCGAAGGCGGCUCACUGGACCGGAACUGACGCUGAGGCGCGAAAGCGUGGGGAGCAAACAGG
rnacentral:rRNA from 1 species